CUCUACAAAAUAGAUGUAAUGAAACUGUAGUGGGCAUGUUCGUCCAUUAAAAAAAUACUUUUUGAGGCAUUAAAAAAUACUUUUUGGGGGCAUCGGGUUGAAGCACCCUCUUCAUCUUCCUGCGCUCCCGUCACCAUAAGCCCUUCCACUUGCCGGAUUUGGUUUCAGCUGCCGGAAAAUGGCCAUGGUCGCCCGUCCAUCGGCCAUAUUUUUGGUUCAUAAACAUAGAGAUCGCAUUUCUCUGUCACUCAUGUGUAAAAGCAGUUCUGCAAAUACAUAAGGUCUUGAUCAACAAGCAGACACAAUGGCUGGGAACUCAGAUUUACAAGUCAUUCCACUUGCAAAAGAGAUGCACAAUGUUGAAUCAGGGCCAUUAUAGCUGAUUCGAUUGGAACACCAAAGCCAAAGUGAAAUACAAGUUGAAUAAGGGGUAUGAGAGCAUAUUGCCUUGGAACACCACUCCGCUAACCUCAAAAGCCAACCGUUUAAAAUUGCUAAUUUUGAAAAGGUAUACAAAAAUCGCUAUUUUUUUUCAUAAAAGCGUUUAAAACGCUAUUUUUCAUAAACUAUUUACACAAGAUAAAAAAAGCGUAUUUUUUUA